rnacentral:lncRNA from 1 species
GGAUAGGAAACAGAACAAAUGGCUGAAAAGAAAUCAAAGAAGAAAGUUGAGGAAGAAGAGGAAGAUGGGGUGAAUACGGAAAACUUUCAGGAGUUCAUCAGACAAGCAAGUGAGGCUGAACUGGAGGAGGUGUUGACUUUUUAUACCCAAAAGAACAAGUCUGCUAGUGUCUUCCUGGGGACUCACUCUAAAAGUUCUAAGAACAACAACAGUUAUUCUGAUAGUGGGGCAAAAGGUGGUAAGUAUACUGGUUAAUGAACGAAAAAUAAGAAGAACAAGUGAAGAAAUGAGAAAUGCAAAGGAGAAUGAGGAAUAAUGUGUUGG